rnacentral:rRNA from 1 species
CACGGGGGGAGCAAGCGUUGUUCGGAAUCACUGGGCGUAAAGGGCGUGUAGGCGGUCAGGUAAGUGGGAUGUGAAAUGCCCCGGCUCACCCGGGGACCGGCAUCCCAUACUGCUGUGGCUGGAGUCCGGUAGGGGAGCAGGGAAUAUCCGGUGUAGCGGUGAAAUGCUUAGAUAUCGGGUGGAACACCAGUGGCGAAGGCGCUGCUCUGGGCCGGUACUGACGCUGAGGAGCGAAAGCGUGGGUAGCAAACAGG